rnacentral:lncRNA from 1 species
GGGAGGGAGAUGUCACUGAACUUUGGCUGGCACAGUUUAUCUAGCCAGUAAACCUCCUUAUUUGUUUGAUAAAACACAAUACCAACCUCCCAUCUCUGCAACACCCCCCCCCCCACCAAAAAAAACCCUUCAGUUUUAGCAAGAGAAAAAAAUUUUGUCCCAAGAAGAUCUUGUUAUUCAUUGAAACAGUACCUUCCCAAGCUUAGCCACCACCUCUAAUUUCAACAUACUGUAUUUAAAUGCUGCUGCC